AUUCCAGCUCCAAUAGCGUAUAUUAAAGUUGUUGCAGUUAAAAAGCUCGUAGUUGGAUUUCUGGUGGGAGCGAUCGGUCUGGCGCUUAGCGCGAGUACUUGCAUCGUCUCCGGCCAUCCUUGGGGAGAGUUUGUCUGGCAUUAAGUUGUCGGGCAGAGGAUCCUCAUCGUUUACUGUGAAAAAAUUAGAGUGUUCAAAGCAGGCUUAUGCCGUUGAAUAUAUUAGCAUGGAAUAAUAAGAUAGGACUUUGGUACUAUUUUGUUGGUUUGCGCACCAAAGUAAUGAUUAAUAGGGGCAGUUGGGGGUAUUCGUAUUCCGUUGUCAGAGGUGAAAUUCUUGGAUUUACGGAAGACGAACUACUGCGAAAGCAUUUACCAAGGAUGUUUUCAUUA
rnacentral:rRNA from 1 species